rnacentral:rRNA from 1 species
AGAUUGAACGCUGGCGGAAUGCUUUACACAUGCAAGUCGAACGGCAGCACGGGGGCAACCCUGGUGGCGAGUGGCGCACGGGUGAGUAAUACAUCGGAACGUAUCCUAGAGUGGGGGAUAGUCCGGCGAAAGCCGGAUUAAUACCGCAUACGCUCGAAAGAGGAAAGUGGGGGAUCGUAAGACCUCACGCCCAAGGAACGGCCGAUGCCGGAUUAGCUUGUUGGUGAGGUAAAGCUCACCAAGGCGACGAUCCGUAGCGUGGUCUGAGAGGACGACCAGCCACACGUGGGACUGAGACACGGCCCAGACUCCGUACGGGAGGCAGCGAGGUGGGUAAUUUGGACAAGUAGGGGGAACCUGAUCCAGCCAGUUCCGCGUGAGUAGAAGAAGUCCGUUCGGUUAGUAACG